CUCUCCAUAAGUUAAAUAAAACUUUUGAAUUUUUACUUCAAUAUUACAAAGAAGUUGAAGAGA
rnacentral:tRNA from 1 species